rnacentral:rRNA from 1 species
AUUGAACGCUGGCGGCAGGCCUAACACAUGCAAGUCGAGCGGAUGAAGGGAGCUUGCUCCUGGAUUCAGCGGCGGACGGGUGAGUAAUGCCUAGGAAUCUGCCUGGUAGUGGGGGAUAACGUCCGGAAACGGGCGCUAAUACCGCAUACGUCCUGAGGGAGAAAGUGGGGGAUCUUCGGACCUCACGCUAUCAGAUGAGCCUAGGUCGGAUUAGCUAGUUGGUGGGGUAAAGGCCUACCGAGGCGACGAUCCGUAACUGGUCUGAGAGGAUGAUCAGUCACACUGGAACUGAGACACGGUCCAGACUCCUACGGGAGGCAGCAGUGGGGAAUAUUGGACAAUGGGCGAAAGCCUGAUCCAGCCAUGCCGCGUGUGCGAAGAAGGUCUUCGGAUUGUAAAGCACUUUAAGUUGGGAGGAAGGGCAGUAAGUUAAUACCUUGCUGUUUUGACGUUACCAACAGAAUAAGCACCGGCUAACUUCGUG